CAGGCAGGCAGCAUGACUUCAGCCUACAACCUGGAUUUUCUGCCCGAUAUGAUGGUGGAGAGCCGCCUGCUCGUCCCUGGAGACAGGCUACCUUGGCCUGAAUGUCACUGUAGAGGAAAAUUCAUGUGGAAGAUCACAGGAAGUCCAGAAUUAGCCGUUUGCUGCAGUGUUUCAGGAGAUGCACAGAGGAAUCCAGAUUAAACGACCAAACAUCUCUAAACUCGGUGAAUCCGGUUUAUCGAACCCAGGAUUGAUUAAUCACCA